rnacentral:rRNA from 1 species
GUGGGGAAUAUUGGACAAUGGGCGCAAGCCUGAUCCAGCCAUGCCGCGUGUGUGAAGAAGGCCUUCGGGUUGUAAAGCACUUUUGUCCGGGAAGAAAUCUUCCAGGUUAAUACCCUGGGAGGCUGACGGUACCGGAAGAAUAAGCACCGGCUAACUUCGUGCCAGCAGCCGCGUUAAUACGAAGGGUGCAAGCGUUACUCGGAAUUACUGGGCGUAAAGCGUGCGUAGGUGGUUCGUUAAGUCUGCCGUGAAAGCCCCGGGCUCAACCUGGGAAGGGCGGUGGAUACUGGCGGGCUAGAGUGCGGUAGAGGGUGGUGGAAUUCCCGGUGUAGCAGUGAAAUGCGUAGAGAUCGGGAGGAACAUCUGUGGCGAAGGCGGCCACCUGGACCAGCACUGACACUGAGGCACGAAAGCGUGGGGAGCAAACAGGAUUAGAUACCCUAGUAGUCC